rnacentral:rRNA from 1 species
UAUUUUGUAUAUUAUGUUAUUUUUUUGUUUAUUAAGAUUUUUAAUAGAAAUAAUUUUAUCUUUUUUUGUCUAAGUAUAUUUUGUAGAAUUGAUUUUUUAUAUUAUAGUUUAUUAGUAAUGUAAUUGGAUUAUGAAAUAUUAUAUAAGUUUUGAAAAGUAAAUUUUAUUUAUUGUACCUUUUGUAUCAGGGUUUAUUAAAUUUUUAGUAUUUAUUUACUAUUCUCGAUUUAGUUUGAUUUACAAUCAAUUUUUAUUUAAUGUUUCAUAAUUAUUAAAGAGUUGAUUGUGGAAAUGAAAUGUUAUUCGUUUACUAAAAUAUCUAGUUUCUUGAGAAAAAGUUUAAUUUUUUAUAGUUUAUUUGUUUAUAUUUAAUUUUUUAAUUAUAAAUAUUAACUUAUUUAUUUUUUAGGGGAUAAGCUCUAAGAAUUAAAUCCUAUAAUUUAUUAAUUUAAAAUAAAAUAGUAAGCUUUAAAUCAGCUAUCUUUAAGAUUACGUUUUAGUUCAUUAUUAUUUAAUUUGAUUUUAUAAUUAUUUUAGGUUUUAUAUUGAGAUGUAAAAUUUAAUUUUGAAAUUUUUGUAAUAAUGAUAGAAUUAGUAUAUUUAUUUUGUUUAUAGUAGUUAAUUUUGUUAAUUUAUUAUAAGGAAUUAGGCAAAGUUUAUAUUUCCGCCUGUUUAUCAAAAACAUGGCCUCUUGAUUAUAUUUUGAGGUCUGACCUGCUCACUGACAAGUUUUUAAAGAGCCGCGGUAUUUUGACCGUGCAAAGGUAGCAUAAUCAUUAGUCUCUUAAUUAGAGGCUGGAAUGAAUGGUUUGACGAGAAGUUAACUGUCUCUUAAUAAUAUAUAAAAUUUAACUUUUAAGUUAAAAGGCUUAAAUUUUUCUUUAAGACGAGAAGACCCUAUAGAGCUUUACAUUUUACUUUUAUAUAAUUUUUAGAUUAUCUUUUUAUAUUUAAUAAUAAUGUUUUGUUGGGGUGACAUAAAGAAUAGAUAAACUCUUUAUUAUUAAAUCAUUGAUUUAUGUUUAUUUUGAUCCAUAAUUUAUGAUCAUAAGAUUAAGUUACCUUAGGGAUAACAGCGUAAUUGUUUUUGAGAGUUCAUAUCGACAAAGCAGAUUGCGACCUCGAUGUUGGAUUAAGAUAAAUUCUAGGUGUAGGAGUCUAGAAAUUAGGUCUGUUCGACCUUUAAAUUCUUACAUGAUCUGAGUUCAGACCGGCGUGAGCCAGGUCGGUUUCUAUCUUAAGAAAUAUUGUUUAUAUUAGUACGAAAGGACCAUAUGAACGAAAUACUUUUUUAUUAUUGAUUUAAAUUAAUUAUU